rnacentral:rRNA from 1 species
AUUGAACGCUGGCGGCAGGCUUAACACAUGCAAGUCGAGCGGGGUGAUGGUGCUUGCACUAUCACUUAGCGGCGGACGGGUGAGUAAUGCUUAGGAAUCUGCCUAUUAGUGGGGGACAACAUCUCGAAAGGGAUGCUAAUACCGCAUACGUCCUACGGGAGAAAGCAGGGGAUCAUUUGUGACCUUGCGCUAAUAGCUGAGCCAAAGUCGGAUUAGCUAGUUGGUGGGGUAAAGGCCUACCAAGGCGACGAUCUGUAGCGGGUCUGAGAGGAUGAUCCGCCACACUGGGACUGAGACACGGCCCAGACUCCUACGGGAGGCAGCAGUGGGGAAUAUUGGACAAUGGGGGGAACCCUGAUCCAGCCAUGCCGCGUGUGUGAAGAAGGCCUUAUGGUUGUAAAGCACUUUAAGCGAGGAGGAGGCUCUUUUGGUUAAUACCCAAGAUGAGUGGACGUUACUCGCAGAAUAAGCACCGGCUAACUCUGUGCCAGCAGCCGCCGUAA